CGGUGACUGACUGGAACCUAAUCUGAGAGAGGGCAUAGAAAUCUCAAAUGAAUUGACGGUCGAAGGAAUUGACGGAAUUGACAGAAUGACAGCUCCUAUACCCUGAUCCCCUGAUAUUUCCCUGCCAACAACCACCGGCUUACUCCGGGCCCUAGGCCGCGGUAAUACUUUCUGGGGGUGCGUUAAUCGGAAUUACUGGGCGUAAAGCGCACGUAAAUCCGUCUGUUCAGUCCGAUGUGAAAGCCCCGGGCUCAACCUGGGAACUGCAUUUGAUACUGGUGGAAUUGAGUCUUGUAGAGGGGGGUGGAAUUCCAUGUGUAGCGGUGAAAUGCGUAAAUAUCUGGAGGAACACCGGUGGCGAAGGCGGCCCCCUGGACCAAGACUGACGCUCAGGUGCGAAAGCCUGGGGAGCAAACACGAUUAGAUACCCUGGUAGUCCACCCCGUAAACGAUGUCUACUAGCCGUUGGUAUCAUUUAAGGGUUUCUUCCCGAGCUAAACCGUUUAAAGACCCGCCUGGGAGGAACGGACGGAAGGUUAAAACUCAAAGGAUUUGACG
rnacentral:rRNA from 1 species